rnacentral:rRNA from 1 species
AUGCCCAUUCGGGCCCAGGUUCGUGAUGUCUCUUUCGAGCUCAAGACGGAGAGUAUGGGAUCGACUUUCGGGGAUCAGUUGGGGGAAGUGGUGGAUGUGUCGCACCGUAAUCAUGUCAUAGUUGAAAAAUUCUUGCGAGUGCGUGUGGGUAUCUUGCUGCACAAGCCGCUCAAGAGCAUUAUAGAGUUCACCCCGUUAGGAAGCUCCAAGAAAAUUAGAUAUGAUGUCCAGUAUGAAAAACUACCUCAAUAUUGUGAGUGUUGUGGGCUUAUAGGUCAUACUUCGGAGCGUUUCUGUAGUAUUCCAAAAGAAAAGAGUGUAGCUAUCUACCCAAGAAAAUCUUAG